CUCAGGAUGAACGCUAGCUACAGGCUUAACACAUGCAAGUCGAGGGGAAACGAUAGAGAAAGCUUGCUUUUUCUAGGCGUCGACCGGCGCACGGGUGAGUAACGCGUAUCCAACCUGCCCACCACUUGGGAAUAACCUUGCGAAAGUAAGACUAAUACCCAAUGAUAUCUCUAGAAGACAUCUGAAAGAGAUUAAAGAUUUAUCGGUGAUGGAUGGGGAUGCGUCUGAUUAGCUUGUUGGCGGGGUAACGGCCCACCAAGGCGACGAUCAGUAGGGGUUCUGAGAGGAAGGUCCCCCACAUUGGAACUGAGACACGGUCCAAACUCCUACGGGAGGCAGCAGUGAGGAAUAUUGGUCAAUGGGCGAGAGCCUGAACCAGCCAAGUAGCGUGCAGGAUGACGGCCCUAUGGGUUGUAAACUGCUUUUAUAAGGGAAUAAAGUGAGCCUCGUGAGACUUUUUGCAUGUACCUUAUGAAUAAGGACCGGCUAAUUCCGUGCCAGCAGCCGCGGUAAUACGGAAGGUCCGGGCGUUAUCCGGAUUUAUUGGGUUUAAAGGGAGCGUAGGCCGGAGAUUAAGCGUGUUGUGAAAUGUAGACGCUCAACGUCUGCACUGCAGCGCGAACUGGUUUCCUUGAGUACGCACAAAGUGGGCGGAAUUCGUGGUGUAGCGGUGAAAUGCUUAGAUAUCACGAAGAACUCCGAUUGCGAAGGCAGCUCACUGGAGCGCAACUGACGCUGAAGCUCGAAAGUGCGGGUAUCGAACAGGAUUAGAUACCCUGGUAGUCCGCACGGUAAACGAUGGAUGCCCGCUGUUGGUCUGAAUAGGUCAGCGGCCAAGCGAAAGCAUUAAGCAUCCCACCUGGGGAGUACGCCGGCAACGGUGAAACUCAAAGGAAUUGACGGAAG
rnacentral:rRNA from 1 species